AGCGGAGAUGAGGUGCUUGCACCUUAUCUUAGCGGCGGACGGGUGAGUAAUGCUUAGGAAUCUGCCUAUUAGUGGGGGACAACAUUCCGAAAGGAAUGCUAAUACCGCAUACGUCCUACGGGAGAAAGCAGGGGAUCUUCGGACCUUGCGCUAAUAGAUGAGCCUAAGUCGGAUUAGCUAGUUGGUGGGGUAAAGGCCUACCAAGGCGACGAUCUGUAGCGGGUCUGAGAGGAUGAUCCGCCACACUGGGACUGAGACACGGCCCAGACUCCUACGGGAGGCAGCAGUGGGGAAUAUUGGACAAUGGGGGGAACCCUGAUCCAGCCAUGCCGCGUGUGUGAAGAAGGCCUUAUGGUUGUAAAGCACUUUAAGCGAGGAGGAGGCUACUGAGACUAAUACUCUUGGAUAGUGGACGUUACUCGCAGAAUAAGCACCGGCUAACUCUGUGCCAGCA
rnacentral:rRNA from 1 species